UAGUCAUAUGCUUGUCUCAAAGAUUAAGCCAUGCAUGUCUAAGUAUAAACAAUUUUGUACUGUGAAACUGCGAAUGGCUCAUUAAAUCAGUUAUAGUUUAUUUGAUAGUACCUUACUACUUGGAUAACCGUGGUAAUUCUAGAGCUAAUACAUGCUAAAAAUCCCGACUUCUGGAAGGGAUGUAUUUAUUAGAUAAAAAACCAACCCGGGCAACCGGUUCUUUGGUGAUUCAUGAUAACUUCUCGAAUCGUAUGACCUUGUGUCGACGAUGGUUCAUU
rnacentral:rRNA from 1 species